rnacentral:lncRNA from 1 species
CCCGUGUGGAUCACUAUUGAAGGAUAUUUACUUUGGUGUCUUAUGAAGAUCAUCCUAACACUAGAUCAUCAUCUUCAGGAAGGUAUAAUUAUCUAUUUUAUUUGCAUGCUUGAUUGGUUUGGUUGAAAUCAACAAGGUGUUCCUUGGUUCUAUGUUUUAGUUAGCAUCUUUCAAGAGUUAAAACUUGUAAAAAUUUUUGAAAGU